rnacentral:lncRNA from 1 species
CAGAUGUCACGUGGUUCUUUGGAUGACAGAAGAAAAUAGGAACCAUCUCUCAAGAAAAACCACACGGGCAAAAGGUUUACCUUGGUCUUCUCAACCAACUGUUAUAUGUAAAAAAUAUUGUAACGUGGGAAGACACAAAGGAGAAGCUAGCUUCUAGAAACAUGUUGGAUCAGAGUUGAUUCUUCUUUUUAAAUAGAGGAGUGACAUGGUCAUUAAGUAUUAGCUCUGGCAGUAGAAAUAACUUAAGGAGCAAUAUAUUGGGUAGAUUAAAAGAGGCUGUAGAUAGGGACUCGUUGUAAGUCUUUUUCAAGGGACUUGGGAGACAGGAUUACCUGAAUUUAGGCAGUGGUUUUCAGGAUGGCUCUGAGGGCAGAUUGGAAAGGCCAAAUGGAUUAGGAUUAGUUACCCAAUGGAUUUGGAGAGGAGUUAUGGGAAAUAGUCUAAAAAGACGAUCUCCAUACACUGUUGGUGGGAAAGUAAAUUUACGUAACCACUAUGGAGAGCAGUAUGGAGGUUCCUUUAAAAACUAAAUAUAGGGAGUUCCCGUCGUGGCGCAGUGGUUAACGAAUCCGACUAGGAACCAUGAGGUUGCGGGUUCGGUCCCUGCCCUUGCUCAGUGGGUUAACGAUCCGGCGUUGCCGUGAGCUGUGGUGUAGGUUGCAGACGCGGCUCGGAUCCCGCGUUGCUGUGGCUCUGGCGUAGGCUGGUGGCUACAGCUCCGACUGGACCCCUAGUCUGGGAACCUCCAUAUGCCGCAGAAGCGGCCCAAAGAAAUAGCAAAAAGACCAAAAAAAAAAAAAAAAAAAAAAAAAACUGAAUAUAAAACUACCAUAUGAUCCAGCAAUCCCACUCCUCGGCAUCUGUCCAGAGAAAACCAUAAUUCCAAAAGAUACAUGUACCCCAAAGUUCCUUGUAGCCCUAUUUACAAUAGCCAGGACAUGGAUGCAACCUAAAUGUCCAUCAACAGAGGAAUGAAUAAAGAAGAUGUGGUACAUAUGUACAAUGGAAUAUUACCCCUAAAAAAGACUGAAAUCAUGCCAUUUGUGGCAAUAUGGAUGGACGUAGAGAUGAUCAUACUAAGUGAAGUCAGUCAGUCAGACAAAGCAAGACAAGUAUCCUAUGAUUUCACUUAUAUGUAGUUAGAAACUUUCCUUUAGAAAGUUUACCUGUAGAGUCAGGAAGGAGACAGAGUUUUAAAAGGGGGUAUUUUUGAAUGUGAGGAUGAUCUGAGCAUAAUUAUAAAUGGACUAUAGAAGCCAGGGGAAAGAGAACUGAAACAGCAGCUUGAACAAGAACUGAAAGAAGUUGGAAGAGGAAGGGAACAAGAGCCUUGCGGGGUAGGGGUGCUCUUUCCCUAAGAUUAGAAUGAUUGUAGGCAAAUGGGAGUGUGGGGGUACUGAAGCCAAGCAAGACUGUACCUUAUAAUGACCAUUUUCUAAGAUCGAAGGACUGGGAAGAAGGUUGAGGACUUAAGAAAAAUCCAUGAACAGGAACUUGGGUAAGCCUGGGGAAAGAACUGCUAAGCAGCCAUAAAUGCAUACAGAAAAUUUCGAAGAACUAAUCUACACCAUCAUCAAGUUUGUACCAGUAGCUACUGAAAAGAAACAGAAGAAACAAGCAAUUUAUUGAUCUUGUGUUGGAGUUGGCAAGGUGGGGGUCGGGUCAAGGUGAGAUGGGGCCGUUCGUUCCAGUGAUGAGGCUGUGGUACCAUACAGGGUGAGUGGGGAUAGCAUCGAGCCACGAACGGGCAGGUAGACUGGAAAAAUAACAAGAGGAUAAAGCCUUCGGGCCUCCAACAAGGUCUCUAAGCCAAUGUCGAGAGAAGGAGGGGACGUGAGAGAUGGAAGGGUGGGAAGUUACAUAUAAUAAAGAAUGUUGAGAGUAAUUAUUGCAGAGGUGGAAUAUUAUUAUGUAGAGUAGUAUGAGAAGACUCUGCAAGAAUAUAGGACUGAGCAGGAUCUUUAAGAAUGGGUAGAGUGGGGUUUUUUUGGUCUGUUUGUUUUUGUUUUUAGGGCCGCAGGUUAUGGAAGUUCCCAGGCUAGGGGUUGAACUGGAGCUACAGCUGCCAGCCUACACCACAGCCACAGCCAUGUGGGAUCCGAGACACGUCUGCGACCUACAGUGCGGCUCACGGCAGUGCCAGAUCAUUCACCCACUGAGCGGUGCCAGGGACGGAACCCGCAUCCUCAUGAACACUAGUCGGGUUUGUCAUCACUGAGCCACACCGGGAACUCCCAGGAACGGGUAGAGUUUCAUGGUGGAGGAGGGAGGACAUUCUGUGCCCCAAAUCAUGGAAGAACUGGAGACAGGUGGAAAGAGUACUCAUGGGGCCUGGAGAAGGGGGAGGUUGGCCAGAAAGGAAGCAGUGGGAGCCUUGCUUGCUGUACUGGAGUGGACAAGAGAAAGUGAGAUCCAUCCGUAAAUCAAGCCACAUUAUGGAAGGGUUCGAAACCCCCUUACAGGAGUAGCCCUUUUAUCUAAUGGGCAACCAGGAACCACAACAAAAUAGUAAAAGCAUGGGAAGGCCAGGAACCGAGGAAGGUGUUAGGCACUUUGCACCCCUGGAGACUGUAGCAGGGAUUCCAGAGGGGAAGGGAGUGUGCCCAGAAGUGUCAUCCAGGUGGCUCGGGUGCCGCCUGGAGCAGUGACACACACGGAGGCAGCUUCCGCGCGGAGGUGAAAGGCUUUGAGGACGAACCGGAUGCAGGAAACAUACAGAAGCGCGAGGUGGUUCUCACGUUCUGGGCCAGGAGGCCAGAAAAUAAGCCUACCGCUGAGAGGCGUGGGGACCCGCGGGAGCAGGGGCCUGCGGGAGCGGGGAGGGAGGGGCUGUGUGCCGAGCGGAGUUUUCCGCCCCAGGUGGGCCGCCCCGGGGCUUCCUGUUUGUGCGGUGAAGAAAUAAGGUUCUGAGGAAGCCCCAGGAUGUCAGAGCCUCGUGCACAUACUUAUCAUCAUACUGGCUUUAUUAAAACUGACAUGGGCCGGGCCCUGUUGUGAGAGGGCCGUAGCCGGCAUCACCCUGGCAGGAAGGAGUCAGACGUUGGGUGGCUCCUUGUGUCAUUUGGAGCAAAGGCUUCUGGUGAACAGGCUCCCUUCAUGAUGGCUGAGCUCCAAUUAAAAAACCUUUAAGGGAGGAUUAUAUGAAAAAGACUGUUUAAUCACACCUUAAUUUUUUUUUUUUUCAGUCCCAGCUGCACGGGGGUAACAGGCACCAUGCCGGGAGCACUACCUUUGAUUGAAAAGCAUAAAAAUUUUUACAGGCUUUUUUUUUUUCCCUAUUUAGUUAAAAUUUGGGGUCUCUUCUGUGUUACACUUGGGUAAUAAUCUAGGACAAAAUAGUCAAAAGUGCAUAAAUGGACCCAGUUAAAAUAUGUUUAAAAAAAUCAUCUUUGAUGGUCCCUAGUUAUUUAGGUGGUGGAAAAAAUGUGGAUUAAUGAAUAUUUUAAAUAAACUUUACUAUGUAAUAGGUUUAAAACCGGGCUAGAUAGAUCAGUAGGAACUAAGAGUUAUGAAAAUAUUAUUGAAAUGGUUGUUUGAUGGCAGAAAUAUGACAGUAUUUUAUUAUGUUUUCGGAAUGCAUUUUUUUUUCAAAAAUAUUUCCUUUUUUUAAAAUAGAAGGGGUCUUUUAAUAGUAUGCUGUUUUAUAAUUAUAUGGAGGUAUGCUACACCAGGGAAAAAAGUCCCCCAACUCUGAGUAGAUUUUGUUCUCAUUACUGGACUAUCAUCAAAAGUGAAAAAAAAAAAAAUUGAUGCCAGUAAUAACUUGUAUUUUCUCCAUUUGGAAUGCAGUUAACAGAUUUCCCCCCAUACACACAUAGAGUGCGAUUUACAGAAUUUUUAACUCAGUUCUAGAUUUAGAAUCUCUGAUUCUUCAGUGAAUUCUAAACCCAUUAAAAGAUCUUUUCAAUUCUUUAUAGAAUAAGCAAUAAUUAAUAAGUAAUAGUUCCCUAGGGCCGUUGUGAGAAAUGACCAUAAACUUGCUUAAAAAGGCAAAAAGUGUGUUUUCUCAUAGCUCUGAGAGCUCAAAGUCUGAAAUCGAAGUGUAGGCAGGGCCAUCCUCCUUCUGAAGGCGCUGGGGCACCACCGUUCUUCCUUGAUUCUUACUGCGAUUUGAGGCCAUCCUGGUGUCUCUGCCUCUCUGGUCACAUGGCCUUUGUUCCUGGAUCUCUGUCUCCUCUGGGUGUCUCCAUGCCCAAAUCUCUCUCCUUUUGUUUGUAAGGACCCCAGUCACUGGGUUUAGUGGCCCCCCCCAGAAUCCACAAGGAUUUUAUCUCAAGAUCCUUCACUCAUGACAUCUGCAAAGACCCCUUUCCCACACAAAGCCAUGUUCUGAAGGUCCAGAUAGACACACAUGAAUUUUUCUGGGGGGGAGGGAUAAUAUUCAACCCACUGUAAGUGGGGAGAAUCAUGUCUCAGCCUUGUGUUAUUUCACAUCUUAAAAGCUGUCGGCCAGACCAGCUGUAGAGGGGAGGGCCUGCUGGGAUGAGUGGCCAAAAAUGUGGAGGCCUCAGGAUACAGCACAGGAAGUGCUCUGGCAGGGGAGCCAUCCCUUGGGGCUUGCACGUUCCAUGAUGGAAUUAUCGGAUGGAACCACCGCAGGAUCCCUGGCCUUGCGUAAGUCUUCCAAGGUCUCCUGACUCUUCCGUACGUGGGAACAUAAUCAGCAGCUUUGACUCGGAUGUCUAAACUGAAUUCCCUGCAUAUUAGACUAGACCCAAGACGGGGAAAACGAGGAGCAAUGCAGUCAAGCUCUCUCUGCACUGGUAUCAUUUGUUUCUUAGCAAAUACUGAUAGCAGCCCCAUACACCUGUGUAAACUGUGUUUUCUCCUUGAGACUCACACAUGCCAGUGAGGUAGGCAAGUCCAUCACAGGCCUGUGAAAGAACAGGUUGCUCCAUCAGUGAAUUCAGCAAGUGUUUUGUGAGCCUGUGUUUGGCUCUAGGCUCUGGCUAGGAGAUCCCUGAAGCACAAAGUGUGGCGGUUUAUAGCCACUGGUCCAGUGCUGUUAAUUACAUUGUCUGCCUUGGGGAGUUCCCGUUGUGGCGCAGUGGUUAACGAAUCUGACUAGGAAACAUGAGGUUGUGGGUUCUAUCCCUGGCCUCGUUCAGUGGGUUAAGGAUCCAGUGUUGCCAUGAGCUGUGGUGUAGGUCCUAGACUCGGCUCGGAUCCUGCAUUGCUGUGGCUGUGGUGUAGGCUGGCAGCUACAGCUCUGAUUAGACCCCAAGCCUGGGAACCUCCAUAUGCUGUGGGAGUGGCCCUANNAAA